AUUGAAAUACCGGUUCUCGUACGAUUAACGAAGUUAAACAACGUAGAGCGGGGUCAGUACGUAGAUGGGUGACCGCUUGUGAAUAACAGAUGCUAU